rnacentral:lncRNA from 1 species
CCGAACCACAACUAAUUUUUAUGUUAUGACUUUUCUUGGGCAAAUAAGUGAUUGAAACCACAUCACUAAACACCCUUACAUAAGAGUUCAUGAUCUUAGUUCAUUAUAGUCACUGCAAGGUAGAUAUCUGCAUAACAUUGAUAUGCUUCUCUUUGUGCUUACAUUGAAUUGUUUAUGGCAGUGUCAUAGGUAAUCUUGGUCAUAAUAGGAACUACAUUACUUGGAGAAUAUGUGAAAGAUAGAGUACCUACAAUAGGAGCUAAAAAAGCAUUCUUUCAAAUUUUCAUAACAUAUCGUGCCAUAGAUUAUGAAGAGAUCAUAAAAAUGGGUGUAACAUACAAGCAUAUCACAAUGAUUCUUCUCACAAGGCAUCACGAGCAGCUAUUCGGCAAGUUAUUGCAUCAGAAAGUGAUGACACUCCAAGUUCAGGUGCAGAUAUCUUGUAAUGCUGAAACAUAAAUUAUGGAACAAGUUAGUUUGCACAAGAAAGAAGAAGACACAAAAGUGUUAUUUUAUGUGUAUCAAUGUCCUUGCAAACCUUUUGAAUUUGGGAACGGUUUGCUCUUCCUUCCAGCUCCUCCAGGUCGAUCUCUUUGCCAUUAAUGAGCUUCUCGAUGCCUUGAAUCUGGUAGAGAGACGUGCAUCACAGUUAUGUUAGCAAAAAGAAAAAUGAGUGCCACAUUGUAGAAAUUGAAAUUAUCCUCACCGCAUCAGGAUUAGCGUCGAAUCGAGCAGCAAGGAUAUAGGUUGUGCUGUCUGAGAUUCCGCAUCUUUUCAAUGAUUCAGUAAUCUAGCCAAAAUCAAGCCAAAGUUAGACACUAUAAUCGGAACAAUGAGCCAUAAUGGGUGAAAAUUAAAUAGCAAUGCACAAUUACAUGUUUUGACCCUGAAUAAUUGUAAACAAGUUCCGAAUGAGGAGUGCGUGUGGUCAAAGAGUCCCGUGACUUGGCUACAAGCGUCUUGUGUGCAGCUGCUAGAACAGGGAAAAUAUCUGGAACCUUGAACAGUUGAUAAUCAUGGUAACAUUAGAAAGAUGCAAAAGUGAGGUUAGCAGUUAUUGUUGAUAGUUUAAGCACAAGCACAUGCAUAUCAUAUAGUAAAUAGUGUUGGACAUGACUUAGAGCAUAAAUAUAAGAAAUUAUACAAGUGAAGCAUUGAGAAAUGCAACUUCUGGCUCCAACGUCCCAGCUUGCAUACUUUCCAAGAGUUCCCUGUGAGAGAACAAGAAUUACAUUAUAUAGUUCAGAAAGAGCAAGUUCCUAAUCUUUUCAAUCAAUUACAAACAAAUAGCUAAAAAAUUACAAUAUAUCCUUCGUAUUUGCUUUUAAAGAGGUUGGCGUAUGAGCAUAAAUACCAAACGUUUUGCACUGACAUAGGAUGAAAUGGCACCAAAUAUUGGUACUUCUUAUUGCAAUGGAAAAAAAGCUACUUAAGAUCUAACUACUCUGAAUGUAAAUUUGACAUGAAGUGAUCCAUUGUCUAUCAAUGUUUGAUGGUUACCCACAAAAUAUCAUGCAUCAUGAUAACCAUUUACUCUAGGUACAUAAAUGGAAAGUCGUGCAAUCAUCAAAGUCAACCCCGCAUGCAUUAUUAAAACAUAACUCAAUAAUUUGAACAAAUAAUAAGGGGCAAGCAAGUUGAUCAUAAUAAUUAAUAACUUGCAUUCACUAACAGGUAACAUUCUCAUAACAAGGUGCUCAUUUUUUAGAACAUUUAAUUCCCACUAUUAUUUUUGUAGAAUAAGGAGAGAGAGAGAGAGAGACUAACUUUGAAUUUGUGACAUCAGUAUAGAGUGCAACAGAAAGACUGGUUCCAUUUAUAUUGAACAACUUCAUAGCUUCUACCUUGAAUCUGUAAAGAAAACCAAAGCUAUUAUGAUGUGCUCGAAAUCACAUUAGGGAGAGUAACAAACAAGAAAACAACCUACCGUUUUCUUUUUAUUCUUCUCUACUUUUCUUAUCAAAAGAAAAUUACUUUUUCACCACCCAAAAUAGUUUCUCAACUUUCCUUUAAUACUUUUCAUCCACUUUCUCUUGUAAAAAGCAACACAAAAAGGAGUUGGUUUCAAACAAGGGGGGAAAAGUUAUAACUAACCGUAGUUCCACGAUUCUCUUGUACUUCCAUUCCCAUUUUAACUAGAGGUCAAGACAUUUUUUUAUUGGAAAAUACAUGACCAAUGCUCAAAUAUAAAGAAGGGUGAGAAAUCAUUAAUAAUUAAAGUAUCUUAUUGUGACACAUGCCAUCUUCUUGUGGGUAGAAUGAUUAAUAGGAGGAUAUAUUAUUUUCCUUUGAUUACAGUAGAACAAUUUACCUUAUUACUUUAUUCAUUUCAAUUGUCACAUAUCAUAAUUUUAAUCACUCGAGAAGAUUAUUAAAGAAACAUUAUUCUCUCCAUUAAAUAACACUAUAAUUCGCAUUUCUAAUGCAACCACAUGUUAAUUUUCUUAGCCCAUCACAUUUUAUAUUUUAACCAAGCCGAACCACAACUAAUUUUUAUGUUAUGACUUUUCUUGGGCAAAUAAGUGAUUGAAACCACAUCACUAAACACCCUUACAUAAGAGUUCAUGAUCUUAGUUCAUUAUAGUCACUGCAAGGUAGAUAUCUGCAUAACAUUGAUAUGCUUCUCUUUGUGCUUACAUUGAAUUGUUUAUGGCAGUGUCAUAGGUAAUCUUGGUCAUAAUAGGAACUACAUUACUUGGAGAAUAUGUGAAAGAUAGAGUACCUACAAUAGGAGCUAAA